rnacentral:rRNA from 1 species
GACGAACGCUGGCGGCGUGCUUAACACAUGCAAGUCGAACGGAAAGGCCUCUUUCGGGGGGUACUCGAGUGGCGAACGGGUGAGUAACACGUGAGUAACCUGCCCUUGACUUUGGGAUAACUUCAGGAAACUGGGGCUAAUACCGGAUAGGAGCUCCUGCUGCAUGGCGGGGGUUGGAAAGUUUCGGCGGUUGGGGAUGGACUCGCGGCUUAUCAGCUUGUUGGUGGGGUAGUGGCUUACCAAGGCUUUGACGGGUAGCCGGCCUGAGAGGGUGACCGGCCACAUUGGGACUGAGAGACGGCCCAGACUCCUACGGGAGGCAGCAGUGGGGAAUAUUGCACAAUGGGUGGAAGCCUGAUGCAGCAACGCCGUGUGCGGGAUGACGGCCUUCGGGUUGUAAACCGCUUUCGCUCAUGACGAAGCUUUGUGUGACGGUAGUGGGUAAAGAAGCACCGGCUAACUACGUG